CCUACCUACGGGGGGCAGCAGUGGGGAAUAUUGGGCAAUGGGCGCAAGCCUGACCCAGCAACGCCGCGUGAAGGAAGAAGGCUUUCGGGUUGUAAACUUCUUUUGACAGGGAAGAGCAGAAGACGGUACCUGUCGAAUAAGCCACGGCUAACUACGUGCCAGCAGCCGCGGUAAUACGUAGGUGGCAAGCGUUGUCCGGAUUUACUGGGUGUAAAGGGAGCGUAGACGGACUUGCAAGUCUGAUGUGAAAAUCCGGGGCCCAACCCCGGAACUGCAUUGGAAACUGUAUAUCUAGAGUGUCGGAG
rnacentral:rRNA from 1 species